AGCGAACGCUGGCGGCGUGCCUAACACAUGCAAGUCGCACGAGAAAGGGGUCGCAAGGCCCCCGGUAAAGUGGCGAACGGGUGAGUAACACGUGGGUAACCUGCCCCUGGGUUCGGAAUAACCUGCCGAAAGGCGGGCUAAUACCGGACGACAACGCGUUGUCUUCGGACGAUGCGUUCAAAGCUGACCUCUUCAUGAAAGUUGGCGCCUGGGGAGGGGCCCGCGGCCCAUUAGCUAGUUGGUGAGGUAACGGCUCACCAAGGCUCCGAUGGGUGGCCGGCCUGAGAGGGCGACCGGCCACAGUGGAACUGGAACACGGUCCACACUCCUACGGGAGGCAGCAGUGAGGAAUCUUGCGCAAUGGGGGAAACCCUGACGCAGCGACGCCGCGUGGACGAUGAAGGCCUUCGGGUCGUAAAGUCCUGUCGGGUGGGAAGAAACGGCUUGGAGCUAAUAUCUCCAAGUCCUGACUGUACCACCAGAGGAAGCCCCGGCUAACUCCGUGCCAGCCGCCGCCGUAACAC
rnacentral:rRNA from 1 species